rnacentral:rRNA from 5 species
GGUUGACCUCGGAUCAGGUAGGGAUACCCGCUGAACUUAAGCAUAUCAAUAAGCGGAGGAAAAGAAACCAACAGGGAUUGCCUCAGUAACGGCGAGUGAAGCGGCAAGAGCUCAAAUUUGAAAGCUGGCCCCUUCGGGGUCCGCAUUGUAAUUUGCAGAGGAUGCUUCGGGAGCGGCCCCCAUCUAAGUGCCCUGGAACGGGCCGUCAUAGAGGGUGAGAAUCCCGUCU